rnacentral:rRNA from 1 species
AGGACGAACGCUGGCGGCGUGCUUAACACAUGCAAGUCGAGCGGAAAGGCCCUUCGGGGUACUCGAGCGGCGAACGGGUGAGUAACACGUGAGCAACCUGCCCUUAGCUCCGGGAUAGCCCCGGGAAACCGGAAUUAAUACCGGAUACGACCACGGCCGACAUCUGCUGUGGUGGAAAGGAUUCCGGCUAAGGAUGGGCUCGCGGCCUAUCAGCUAGUUGGUGGAGUAACGGCCCACCAAGGCGACGACGGGUA